rnacentral:lncRNA from 1 species
CUUGUUCGACACACUCCAUCAUUGGCACCUAUUUGAUCCAAUGAUAUGGUUCCAACCCAGUUUUGUCAGGCGUGCAACGUCGAGAAAACUGAGUCAUAGCCUCUUUCUCCAAAGUCUAAACUCUAUUCGUUAUGUGCCUCUUUUUCCGGUGUGAUGCUUGACGAUAUCCACGGACACAUGACGAAUACUCCUGCAUUCUGCCUACAUCUCUGAUUGAGCUCUGGUCUUUACCCAUGUUUUCGGUCCAUCAUCACAGCUGCGUGAUGACUCUUGGCACAAUUUCUUAAUGGUAUAGGUUAGUAACGGAUAGGCAGACUUGCUUCUCACUCUCGGGUAUGUAGUACAAGAUUUCACGCUCAAACCCGGUGUUUUGGAUUGGGAGGGACUCUUGGUGGUAUUUUUGGGCGGUUGGAGCCGACGGUAUCCAUUUAGGUUUUCUUCCUAAAGGAUGAUGAAUUGGAUGUGAUGUAACUUCGUAUUAGACGUAAUGAGCUGACUGAGGUACCUAUUGUUGCUACAUUGAUGAGAUACUUAUGAGAAGUCUAGAAUAGCCGUUCUUUUUGUCACGAUUCUGGAGCUUGAUUACGGACCCGGCAUGAUCCUUGUUCUCUCAUUUUGACCGAAGACUUCGCCUAGAUAGAAGAUGAAAGUCAAUCUUGGUAUCGGCAUACCUGAGAGAAGGUUACCUAUGUGGGAAAGCUAUCUAUGUAGCUACCAUAUGGACGUGGUCGUUUCGAAUGUAAUACUGGAUUGAAGGAACUCA